rnacentral:rRNA from 1 species
UACGGGGGGGGCAAGCGUUGUUCGGAAUUACUGGGCGUAAAGGGUUCGUAGGUGGCCUACUAAGUCAUACGUGAAAUCCCUCAGCUUAACUGGGGAACUGCGUCUGAGACUGGAAGGCUUGAGUGCAGGAGAGGAACGCGGAAUUCCAGGUGUAGCGGUGAAAUGCGUAGAUAUCUGGAGGAACACCGGUGGCGAAGGCGGCGUUCUGGACUGCAACUGACACUGAGGAACGAAAGCCAGGGGAGCAAACGGG